UGGGGAAUUUUGGACAAUGGGCGAAGCCUGAUCCAGCAAUGCCGCGUGUGUGAAGAAGGCCUUCGGGUUGUAAAGCACUUUUGUCCGGAAAGAAAUCCUUGGCUCUAAUACAGUCGGGGGAUGACGGUACCGGAAGAAUAAGCACCGGCUAACUACGUGCCAGCAGCCGCGGUAAUACGUAGGGUGCAAGCGUUAAUCGGAAUUACUGGGCGUAAAGCGUGCGCAGGCGGUUUGCUAAGACCGAUGUGAAAUCCCCGGGCUCAACCUGGGAACUGCAUUGGUGACUGGCAGGCUAGAGUAUGGCAGAGGGGGGUAGAAUUCCACGUGUAGCAGUGAAAUGCGUAGAGAUGUGGAGGAAUACCGAUGGCGAAGGCAGCCCCCUGGGCCAAUACUGACGCUCAUGCACGAAAGCGUGGGGAGCAAACAGGAUUAGAUACCCUGGUAGUCCACGCCCUAAACGAUGUCAACUAGUUGUUGGGGAUUCAUUUCCUUAGUAACGUAGCUAACGCGUGAAGUUGACCGCCUGGGGAGUACGGUCGCAAGAUUAAAACUUAAAUGAAUUGACGGGGUCAUAGCUG
rnacentral:rRNA from 1 species